UACGGAGGGUGCGAGCAUUAAUCGGAAUUACUGGGCGUAAAGGGUGCGUAGGUGGUUUGAUAAGUUAUCUGUGAGAGCCCUGGGCUCAACCUGGGAAGGCCAGAUAAGACUGUUAGACUGGAGUAUGGGAGAGGGUAGUGGAAUUUCCGGUGUAGCGGUGAAAUGCGUAGAGAUCGGAAGGAACACCAGUGGCGAAGGCGGCUACCUGGCCUGAUACUGACACUGAAGCACGAAAGCGUGGGGAGCAAACAGG
rnacentral:rRNA from 1 species